CCUAUUAAAUAGUCGGAGAUUCCUUGUGGUUUGUGUAAAAAGGUUGGAGAUGGAGACAGAAAGCUUCCCAGCAAGCAAUAGCCGUCAUUUCAACGUCUGGGUUAAAUAUAGACCAGAUAUAGUCCGGCUAUGUGUAACCCACUUUUAGCCCAAAUAACAUUUAAUCUGGAUAAAUGUAUUUUUUUUUGCAAAAUAACUUGUGAGAUGUAUGAUAUUCCAUCAUGUACGCAGAGUCUAACGUGAUUACAAGUUGUUUGGUUUACUUUAUUUUACAUGUUAUAUGUGUAGGCUGUGCGUAGCCACGAUUUAGCUCGUAUUCAGACCCGGCUAUUGUAUCCCACUUUUUGUCAAAACUGAUUAAUUGUAUUUUUUUGCCAGGCAGUGCAUGAAAUGGUUAAUAUUCAAUCAUGUUCGCAUUGGUAUGAUAUCAAGGUUCAAUACGUCAUUUCACGGCAUGGUAGAUCACGAUUUAGCUCCAAAUUGGACGGGCUAUAUGCGGUCUGCUUUAGCCCACCUGGCGAAAUUAUUGCAAUCUGGGCUCAGAUAUAGACCAGCGACCUAGAAUAUUAGUCUUUGAAAUGUUUUCGCUUACACAGCUUAAUAUAUAUUUUCUGUCAAACAUUCAUACACAAUCUACGAUAAAAAUAUCUAAUCAAAUGCAAUUGCAUUUCCCAACCGCUAGAUGGCACAAUUGAAACACUACUGAGACAUGUCUACUGGAACUAAUGCGUGACUAGAUCACUUAAGCCAAAUCUCGCGAUAAACAUUUCCGCCAUUUUAUUUUACACGAGGCAGCUGUCGGAGUGCAACGGGUGAGCAACAGUCUGAGUGAAAACCUUCACAUUUCUACUUCGAUCUUAAGAAAGCCAUACAGGUUUGGAACCAAGUGAAAACGCAGUGAUGACCAGCUUUCCAUCAGCUAUGGAAUGUGAAAUAAAAAAUGCUAUUUCUAAUCAUUUCAAACAAGCACCAGGGAGGGCAGGGGGUGGGGGUUAUGGAUCUAAAGUAAACAGUUAAUUCUUAAAAAUUAAUUGUUUUACAUAUUUUUCCAAUGUUUUAUUUGUUCAUUUUUAUGUUUGAAUGUUGUCCAAGUUGUUGUUGUCUAUAUAAUUGUUCAAAAUAAAUCCCUUUAUAUUCAAUUAGUUUGGAUGGAUUUUAAUUUAUGAGAACCUGUUAUAUUUGAGUGAAAAGAAUCCUUAUGCCUCUUUUUGUUGUCUAUUACAUGUAUAUGUAGUGUAAUGGAUGACUAGUCUAUUCUUGGGCUAUGGUUAGACGUCUAUUGGACGUAUAAAUAUAGUCGUUCAAUAGCUGUCUGAUUGUCUAUUCUUGGGCUAUGGUUAGACAUCUAUUAGACGUAUAUAUGUAGUCAUUUAAUAGCUGUCUAUUCUUAGGGUAUGUUUAGACGUCUAUUAGAUUUUCACUGACAGCCCAAAAUUAGCCUCGAUUUAGCCUAGACGUCUCGGCUGUGUUUAGACGGCUAUUAGACGUCUAUUAGACGCAAAAUUGCUUGCUGGGUUUAUACUGUGCGUGCUUUCUUUGCGUAAUGGAUGUGGAGAACUGUUCAAUAAACAAAUUGCUUAAAUAGUCAGAGAUUAUUUCCUUGUGGUG